rnacentral:ncRNA from 1 species
CCAAAUUCAUUGACGAGAAAGAGUACGCUAUUACCUUGUUCCCCAGAGAGUUGGCCUCGUGCUGAAAGCCAACGUUCAAGACUUAGCCGAAAAUCCUCUCCGAGAAGGAAAGCUGAAGAGACGUAAGUAAGCUGCCCCGGGAUCCCGCCGUUACAAGGGACGCGUAUGAUGGUACGUAGUAGAGUGCUGAAAAGUCAUGAAGGAUAUGAUCUUUUCGGAACAAGGGUGGUAUCGCGAGAUGAAAUCUCGUCCCUUAG